rnacentral:lncRNA from 1 species
AUGCCGUGUGUAUGUGUGUGUGCGUGUGUGCAUGCAUGUGUGUGCGUGUGUGCAUGCAUGUGUGUGCGUGUGCGUGCGUGUGCCUGUGUGUGUGNNNNNNNNNNNNNNNNNNNNNNNNNNNNNNNNNNNNNNNNNNNNNNNNNNNNNNNNNNNNNNNNNNNNNNNNNNNNNNNNNNNNNNNNNNNNNNNNNNNGUGUGCGUGUGCGUGCGUGUGCCUGUGUGUGUGUGUGCAUGCAUGCGUGUGCGUGUGUGUGCGUGCGCCUGUGGGCGUGUGUGUGCAUGCAUGCAUGUGUGUGUGUGCGCGUGUGUGUGUGCGUGUGCCUGUGGGCAUGUGUGUGCAUGCAUGCGUGUGUGCGUGUGUGUGCAUGCAUGUGUGUGCGUGUGUGUAUGAGUGCGUGUGCCUGUGGGCAUGUGUGUGCAUGCAUGCGUGUGUGUUCGUGUGUGUGCAUGCAUGCGUGCGUGUGCGUGUGUGUGCAUGCAUGCAUGUGCGUGUGUGUGCAUGCGCCUGUGGGCGUGUGUGUGCAUGCACGUCUGCAUGUGUGCCCGCGUGUUCAUGUGUGUGUGUGCGUGCGUGCGUGUGUGUGUGUGUGUGUGUGUGUGAGAGAGAGAGAGAGAGGAGGAGAGAGAGAACGCCCUGUUGAGGUUUUCCCAGGGACCUCGAGUUCCUGGCUGAGUGGGUGCCGUGCCCUCCUCCAGGGGACCUUCCCCACCCGGGGACUGAACCCGCGUCUCUCGCCUCUGGUGCACUGGCGGCUGGGUUCUUUACCACUAGUGCCACCUGGGAACCCCUCCUACAGCUCUGUCGGGUAACAGUGGGUGUUUUCUAAAGACGGCGAAACAGGGAGUCAAGCUAUCGGCGUAUCGUCCCAGGUCGUGUCCGUCAUCCACAAAGAGGUGGCUACGGCGGCUCCCUGGGCAGCAGGCUGGCCUGACUGGGGAUGCUGAGCCCAGGCCCCAGGCCCGCUGGGCACUCUCACCAGCCAGAGCCCUAGGACUAUGCACCCACACUCUGCACCCCCAAAGGAGCACUGGUGUUUUCGUUGUAAAAAUUUAAAAACACCUUUCACAGUCUUUGGACAUUGGCAAUACAUUUCUUAAUCAUUUAAUGUUGGCUAUUUCUUGGUAACCCUGAACCUCAGCAGAAACUAUUGUGACGUGCGAGAACAUUUACCUACCACUUAUUUUCAAAUAUAAUGCAUUGUAUGAAAAGUAAAUUUAAUUAUCGAUUCAGUUGGCGCGAUGUCAGGAUUCACAGAUGAAAGCACUUUGGUUAAUGUCAGUUUUUGCAGUUUUGUUUUGUAUUUUGGAACCUAGGUUCCCUUGCGGGCCUCUGAAGGUCUCCUCGGCACCGGGCCUUCUGUUCUGGAAGCUGGUGGGGCUGGUGAGUGCAGAGGUAGCCCUGGAGGACGUGUGUGAGGGCUUGUGGCACGCAGACCCUCAGGGCACACAGAGUGCAGCUGCGGCCUGACCUCGUCCGUGAAGCUGAGCCAGCCUGGAGCCCCACAAGCCUGGCCCUGCGUCCCCAGCUGCCUCUUUCUGAAGCCUGCCCUGUGGAAGUUCCUCUAGUUUUGUGAGCAGCCCCCGCAGGCUGGCUUCCCAUUCCAGGGUCCCGUUCCCUCCCCUGGUGCCCCCUAGGAGGCAGGACCUACGUCCCCUUUCUGCAGACGGUGAAGCUAGGACCCAGGGAGGGUCGGACUCCAUGGACGUGCAUUUGAGCAAACUCGGGGAUAGUGAAGGGCAGGGAAGCCUGGCGUGCUGCAGUCCCUGGGGUUUCGAAGAGCUGUGCACGGCUUAGCGGCCGAACAAUAACAGAGAGGGUAGGUAACUUGCCCAAAGCCACACAGCUGUAGGGAAUCGGGUAUGCCUGGGAUCCCUGUUCCUUCCAGUGCCCCACCCCCAGCCUACACAGCCGAGGUGGGCAGCGUCUUCAAUGGCCCGUGGACGUAAACUGCAGACGCUGUGUCUGUGACGCAGAGGCAGGAAUCUCUCACAUCGACUUUUUGCUAACUUUGCUAUUCCAUUUACAUUGACAAAUGCUUAAGAUUUGUCUUUUAAGAGCAGCUACUUAACCUUAGGCUGCGACGGCACACAAGCGUGGCCGAGAGGAGCUACCCCACGUCCGAGGUUGGGGCAGAAGCCGGGAGGACCCCAUGCCCGAGGGGAGGCGGCCAAGAGGAGCUACGCCUCAUCCGAGAUCAGGGGCAGCAGCCGAGAGUGCCAGGCUGCGACGGCGCAGGAACGGCCGAGAGGAGCUACCAUACGUCCGAGGUAGCUCGGAUGAAUGAAUGUCGACAUUCUAGGAAUCAGCGAACUAAAAUGGACUGGAAUG